rnacentral:rRNA from 1 species
GUAGUCUCGCACAGAUGCAUAUCAAUAAGCGGAGGAAAAGAAACUAACAAGGAUUCCUCUAGUAACGGCGAGUGAAGCGGGAAGAGCUCAAAUUUGAAAUCUUAAAGGGUUUCCCCUUACGAAUUGUAGUUUAAAGAAGUGUUUUCUGUUGAGGUUUUGGUAAAAGUUCUUUGGAAUAGGACAUCAUAGAGGGUGAGAAUCCCGUAUUUGACCUUUACUUUCAACUUUGUGAUACACUUUCAAAGAGUCGGAUUGUUUGGGGAUGCAGUCCAAAAUGGGUGGUAAAUUUCAUCUAAAGCUAAAUAUUGGCGAGAGACCGAUAGCGAACAAGUACCGUGAGGGAAAGAUGAAAAGAACUUUGAAAAGAGAGUUAAACAGUACGUGAAAUUGUCAAAAGGGAAGCGUUUGACACCAGUGUUGUUUUUCUGAAAAUCAAUUAAAGAACUGUUUAUGCUAAGCUGUUUAGACUUUAUCAGCUAACUGUUUAGUUUUGAGCUUUUCUUUAAUGCACUUUUCAGUUAACAAGUCAACAUCAAUUUCUUUUGCUGUAAAAAAGCUUGAGGAAGGUGGCUUGAGAUUCGUCUUAAGUGUUUAUAGCCUCUUGCCUAUGCAGUCGGAGAGAUUGAGGUCUGCAGCGUAGAUCCUUCGGGGCUAAAUGCAUUUGUGCUAAGUUAUAGCAUUUCAUAGACAACUUGUUGACUAUGAUUUGUCUUGUAGCUUACUCGCUUAUGUUAUUUUACCUACGCUUAGGAUGUUGAUCUGUAGUGCGUGCGC